CACGUAGGGUGCGAGCGUUGUCCGGAAUUAUUGGGCGUAAAGAGCUCGUAGGCGGUGUGUCACGUCGGCCGUGAAAACCUACAGCUUAACUGUGGGCUUGCUUUCGAUACGGGCAGACUUGAGGCAUGCAGGGGAGAACGGAAUUCCUGGUGUAGCGGUGAAAUGCGCAGAUAUCAGGAGGAACACCGGUGGCGAAGGCGGUUCUCUGGGCAUGUUCUGACGCUGAGGAGCGAAAGUGUGGGGAGCGAACAGG
rnacentral:rRNA from 1 species